UUCAAGGAAUUACGCAAGCUCAACCCCUGUUCUAUUCUCAAAUGAAAUAUGCUGAAGAGCAGAGGAGGUGAUGUGCUUUUCAGUGGAGCCAGAGUAAUAAUGUAGACAGGGAAGGAUAUUUCUAAGUAGAGGUACUUCAUUCUAGUCAGCUUUCAAGAAAUGACUCCUUGGGCUGAAAUAAUUAUCAGCUUGGCUUUUUUUUUUCCUUAGGAGCACCAGACAUCGCUGGAAGAUUGAUCCUUCAUAAAUUAUUCGGUCCUAAAUAUUCAUCCACUUCACCAGCUCUUCAGCACUCUUUGAUGAGCCUGAUUUUCCCCUUUACAUCUUGACCCUCACCUGUCUUCUAGCCCAGAGGGCUCAUCACAAGUUAUCUCCUAGGAAAGGGAAGGAGAGCAUCAGGACGAUGGAGGGUGCUCAUCUGCUCCCUCGUCUUCAAGCCCCCACCGCUACGUGGAUGACUCCCAGAUCUAUCUCGCCAGCCCUGACCUCUCUUCCACUCUGCAAUCUCAUUUCCCCUUAAUGCCAGGACCUCUACGCAAGGACGGCAUCACGUCAAAAACUGCACUCCUCACUUUCCAGCUCCUCCGCUAGAUGCCUAUGUCAUCUGCUCCAGUUUCAUGCAGAAAGUACCGUUUCCAGAAUUCGCGUUUGGACAGUUAGCAGCAAUAAUCUCGAAUCAUUUCCCCCAAGGAAUCUCCGAGUAAUGCAUCUGUAUUUUUGAAGAGCACCCACCAAAAUAAAAUAUGUGAAUG